GAAAUAAUUGGUGAAUAGAACGAGAUCAGAAAGACGGUUCCCUCCAUGGAUUUGCUUCUUCUCGGAAUCUUGAUUGAUUUCCAGGAACCUGUUGUUCUCCGGCAAGAAAACCCACUCAUCAAUAUCCAUUUCCGGGUGAAUCAUUUUUAAGGAAAUAGAAUCUGAUGUUUAUUUAA